UACAGGGGGUGCAACCGUUGCUCGGAAUCAUUGGGCGUAAAGCGCACGUAGGCGGUUCGUUAUGUCGGAUGUGAAAGCCCUUGGCUUAACCGAGGAAGUGCAUCCGAAACUGGCGAGCUAGAGUACGAAAGAGGAUCGCGGAAUUCCCGGUGUAGAGGUGAAAUUCGUAGAUAUCGGGAAGAACACCGAUGGCGAAGGCAGUUCUCUGGGCCGUAACUGACGCUGAGGAGCGAAAGCGUGGGGAGCGAACAGG
rnacentral:rRNA from 1 species